rnacentral:rRNA from 1 species
GAGUUUGAUCUUGGCUCAGAUUGAACGCUGGCGGCAUGCCUUACACAUGCAAGUCGAACGGUAACAGGUCUUCGGACGCUGACGAGUGGCGAACGGGUGAGUAAUACAUCGGAACGUGCCCAGUCGUGGGGGAUAACUACUCGAAAGAGUAGCUAAUACCGCAUACGAUCUGAGGAUGAAAGCGGGGGACCUUCGGGCCUCGCGCGAUUGGAGCGGCCGAUGGCAGAUUAGGUAGUUGGUGGGAGUAAAAGCUUACCAAGCCGACGAUCUGUAGCUGGUCUGAGAGGACGACCAGCCACACUGGGACGUGAGACACGGCCCAGACUCCUACGGGAGGCAGCAGUGGGGAAG